UCCGGGGUAGUUCAGCGGCAAGAACGCUCGGCUUCGGACCGAGAGGGCGCUGGUUCGAACCCAGCCCCCGGACCCA
rnacentral:tRNA from 1 species